GCUGGGCUUGGUGGCGCACGCCUGUAAUCCCAGCUACUUGGGAGGCUGAGGCAGGAGAAUCACUUGAACCCGGAAGGCUGAGGUUGCAGUGAGCCGAGAUCGCACCACUGCACUCCAGCCUGGGUAACAGAUUGAGACUCUGUCUCAA
rnacentral:SRP_RNA from 2 species